UUAAAGAGAUGAGACAAGUAAAACCCUGAACGUACAGCCUAGGAAUUAGUAAGCAUUCAACAGGGCAAAGGGAUGCUCUUAUUGGACCCGCCUAAAUCCUGUGCAUCUCCCUGGAGCUGGAAGAGAGAGACACCAGUCCUUAACCCUGUGGACCGAGAGUGAGAGAGAUGUUGUUUCUAAAUGAUGCCUCAGGUGUUGUUAUCAGAAGAAGGGGAAGCGAUUCUGGCCUUAAUGACAGAUGUCCAUCACAAAAGAUCGGGGUUCCGUACAGACAGUGGUGGUUCUUCCUAUGAACAGCUGCGCCAGAGGUGAGCUCGUUCUGGAGGAGCUGGAGUCUUCAAGGUUGGAGCAUCUCCUGUUAGUCUCAGAACAUGUGUGACGAAUGGAUUCUUUAAUCUGACAGCCACUUGGGAGAAAAAAAUACUUGAUCAAAGAUCAAAUAAAUGAAUGUUAUCAAUUUUUGAGGUU